rnacentral:rRNA from 1 species
AGAUAGCCAGCAUGUCUAGUACAUGCCGUAUUAAGGCGAAACCGCGAAUGGCUCAUUAAAUCAGUUAUGGUUCCUUGGAUCGUACCUUACUACUUGGAUAACUGUGGCAAUUCUAGAGCUAAUACAUGCAGCAGAGCUCCGACCUUCGGGGACGAGCGCUUUUAUUAGACCAAAACCAAUCGGACCUCGGUCCGUCAACUGUGGUGACUCUGUAUAACUUUGGGCUGAUCGCACGGGCCCGUCCCGGCGACGUAUCUUUCAAGUGUCUGCCUUAUCAACUUUCGAUGGUAGGUUACGCGCCUACCAUGGUCGUAACGGGUAACGGGGAAUCAGGGUUCGAUUCCGGAGAGGGAGCCUGAGAAACGGCUACCACAUCCAAGGAAGGCAGCAGGCGCGCAAAUUACCCACUCCCAGAACGGGGAGGUAGUGACGAAAAAUAACAAUACGGGACUCUUUUGAGACCCCGUAAUUGGAAUGAGUACACUCUAAAUCCUUUAACGAGGAUCCAUUGGAGGGCAAGUCUAGUGCCAGCAGCCGCGGUAAUUCUAGCUCCAAUAGCGUAUAUUAAAGUUGUUGCGGUUAAAAAGCUCGUAGUUGGAUCUCAGUUCCAGACGGGCGGUCCACUUACCGGUGGUUACUGCUUGUUCUGAACAGCCAGCCGGUUUCUCUUGAUGAUCUUCACCGGUUGUCUUGGGUGACCGGCAAGUUUACUUUGAAAAAAUUAGAGUGCUCAAAGCAGGCGCGACGCCUGAAUAAUGGUGCAUGGAAUAAUGGAAUAGGACCUCGGUUCUAUUUUGUUGGUUUUCGGAACACGAGGUAAUGAUUAAGAGGGACAGACGGGGGCAUUCGUAUUGCGACGCUAGAGGUGAAAUUCUUGGACCGUCGCAAGACGAACUACUGCGAGAUUUUUUU